GCAAGAUACUCACUGAGAGCCUGCUGCGUUGCCCCGCUGAGCAAUGGAACCCUGACCCACCGCAACACGACGACAUGGAGACAGAAGCCACGGGAUCGGAGUCAACUGUAGCUGUUGUGACGGCUGUAGCCACAGUGCUAUCUGUGGCUGUGAAAACUGUCAGUGCGGAGGUGAUAGAAGACAUUUUGGAGUCGGCUAUCAUUCUACAUGCCCUGUUGCCACUUUUCAC